GCGGGUAGCUCAGUUGGCUGAGCAGUGGGAUGGUACCCCACGAUCUCGGGUUCAAUUCCCGGCCGACGCU